AGCGAACGUUAGCGGCGGGCCUAACACAUGCAAGUCGAGCGAGAAAGGGGCUUCGGCCCUCAGUAAAGCGGCGGACGGGUGAGUAACACGUAGGUAAUCUUCCUUCGAGCGGGGGACAACGUUCCGAAAGGGACGCUAAUACCGCAUACGUUCCCGGAGACUCCGGUCUACGGGAGGAAAGCUAGGUCGCAAGAUCCGGCACUCGAUGAGGAGCCUGCGUCGCAUCAGCUAGUUGGUGGGGUAACGGCCUACCAAGGCGAAGACGCGUAGCUGGUCUGAGAGGAUGAUCAGCCACACUGGGACUGAGACACGGCCCAGACUCCUACGGGAGGCAGCAGUGGGGAAUAUUGGACAAUGGGCGCAAGCCUGAUCCAGCCACGCCGCGUGAGUGAUGAAGGCCUUCGGGUCGUAAAGCUCUGUGGGGAGGGACGAACCGCUGGAUGUGCAUAGCUUCCAGCAUGACGGUACCUCCUUAGCAAGCACCGGCUAACUUCGUGC
rnacentral:rRNA from 1 species